CAGGUGGGACCAGGUAUUAAUAGUAUAAUAAGCAACUAUUGUAUAAAUUGGCUAUUACAUUGGCUUUAGAUGAAUUGGAGCUAGCAGUGGGCUAUACUAUUAAACUUGCUCUAAGACUCGAUGUAUGCGCGUGCGUGCAGUUAGAUGCAGCGGCGGUCAUGGCAUUCGUGACCUGUGAGGGCCAGAUCUGGCGAUGGCUUGAUCCGACGAUGGCUGCGGAGACGGGGACGGGGACGACUACUUUAUCGGCCUGAUGCAGCCGCUGCGGCACUGGUAAUGGCCGGAUGCGGCAGAUACCGCGGCUGCUCCGAUGCAGGCAAUGGGUGGUGCGAUCUGGAUGCGGUGGUGCCAGUCACACGAGCUCCAUGUUGCACCAUUGGCAGCAGGUGCACAGAUGAGUGAUACGCCAGCAACCCGCUGUUGCGCAGGAAUUUGAUUAUGUCAUGGUUUGACAAAUUUUGGUGGCUGAUGCCACCAACAAUUAAGGUAGAGUUUAUCUGCUGAUAGAAUGGAUGCUUAAAACGUCAAGGUAUAAUCAUCUUGACUGUUACUGUUUUUUUCCUUUUGAUUAUCACGCAAGGUUAAAUACUCUGGUGUAAUACUAUGCAUUCUUAGUUCAGAAAUAAAAUGGAAGUGCCUGUUCACUCGGAACGUUUAGGAAGCAAGUUUUCCCACCUAGUAAUGAACCAUAAGAGCAGCUGUAUAUCUGAUCUCUGAUUCGCUAUAUUUUUUUUCCUCUGUAGUCAUGAGCAGAGCAACUGGUCAAUGGUUACAGUUACAGAGGGUCUACAAAAAGGGUAGAAUGAUUCGCUACAAAGUACAUUAAACUAUUUUCAAAUGUGUGUCCAAUCCUCACAUUUAAUUUUUUUCUGUCCAUAGUCAAAACUGUAGAAAUUCUUAAAAUUUCAAAUUGUACUGUUCAGAAACCUUACAUGGAAAAAAAAAACCCAAGAUGUCAAGCAGUGUUAUUCAACGAUGUUCAUUGCUGCUUUUAAUUAUUUGGAAGAAGUCUACAUAACCCCACCAACUAUCACAGGGUAACUGCUUAACCCCCUCAACUAUCAACCCAUGUAUUAGACCCCCUCAUCUUUCUAAUACAGUUUAAUUAACCUCCUGAGGUGGUUUUAGAGGGUUGUUUUUGCCAGGUGGCGUGCUGAGUUGGACAAGCUUCCUGUGUUAGAGCAGCUCCAACAGCAUUAUGGAGUAUUGACAAAUCUACAGCAUUACAUGAAGUUGGGGAGCUAUGCACCAAUAUCUGUGUGGAAACUUAGCAGAUGUAUUCCAUUUAGUUAAGAAAAACCUUCUGAGAAUUUGUAGCAUGUCCAGUGCAUUUGCACUUUAAUUUUGAUGUACUAUUCAAUUGUAAACUCUUGGUUAUAAAUAAGAUUAUUGCCAAUUCUCCAUUGCUA